ensembl:lncRNA
GCUUCGGCCUUCAGUGAGGUACACACACACACACUUUGAUUCAGCCACUUAAAUUCCAUUCAUUACAAAUAUGCAAAUACGUUUUUUAAUAUAAAAUGUUAUAUGAAUGUAAUUCUUUCAGUAGAGACAGUUGCAUGGUCAUCAGCAGAGAGGGAGGAGACUGAUGGAGGAGGUGGAGAGAGGGAGGAGAGAGGCAGAGAGAGAGAGAGAGAGAGAGGGAGGUGGAGAGGGAGGUGGAGAGAGGGAGGUGACUGAUGGAGGAGGUGGAGAGGGAGGUGGAGAGAGGGAGAUGACUGAUGGAGGAGGUGGAGAGGGAGAGAGAGAGAGAGAGAGAGAGGGAGGGAGAGAGAGGGUGGAGGAGAGGGAGGUGGAGAGGGAGGUGACUGAUGGAGGAGGAGGAGAGAGGGAGAGGGUGGUGGAGAGGGAGGUGACUGAUGGAGGAGGUGACUGAUGGAGGAGGUGGAGAGGGAGAUGACUGAUGGAGGAGGUGACUGAUGGAGGAGGUGGAGAGGGAGAUGACUGAUGGAGGAGGUGACUGAUGGAGGAGGUGGAGAGGGAGAUGACUGAUGGAGGAGGUGACUGAUGGAGGAGGUGGAGAGGGAGGAGACUGAUGGAGGAGUGGA